rnacentral:rRNA from 1 species
UGCCACCGCCGCGGUAAAACGUAGGAGGCAAGCGUUAUCCGGAUUUACUGGGCGUAAAGCGCGAGUAGGCGGUUUGUUAAGUGAUGCGUGAAAGCGCCCGGCUCAACUGGGCGAGGACGUAUCAAACUGGCAAGCUGGAGGCAGUGAGAGGCAAGUAGAAUUCCGGGUGGAGUGGUGAAAUGCGUAGAGAUCCGGAGGAAUACCAGUGGCGAAGGCGACUUGCUGGCGCUGACCUGACGCUGAGGCGCGAAAGCGUGGGGAGCGAACGGGAUUAGAUA